GUCAUUUUAGACCUCAAAAAGAACAUUCCAUCAAGGGAUCAGGUUCUAUCAUCUCACUGGAAUGCAAUUUAAGACAUCAUCUCCAGAAAACUGUGCUAGUUGGCAUCCAGCAGUGCCCAAGUAUUAUUUAACCCACUAGAACCUGUGACUGCAUCAGCUUUAUAUCCUGGACCUCAGCCUGGAACAAAGGAGAGCUACACUUGGAUACUAAACACAAGUGGUCUGGAUAGAUUAUGCUGGGAAAAGAAGCCUGGAGCAGGCAGUACAGUGGGAGAACAAGGAGAGAAUGGAGUUGCAGCAGACUGCUCAGGAAUUGUACAUCACCAGUAGCUUCUGUCUCAGCUAAGUGUGGGAGACUGAUACUGAUGAGCCAUUAACAAUGGUGGAGAUUCUGAAUCACUGAAGCACUUGAUAAAAGAAAUGUCGUGGGUGAUGUGAAAAUCUACAUAUGCCCAUGAGAGUAUAUUGAGUUUACAGAAGUGCUUGCCUUGGUGAUCCAAAAAAGGCAGGAUCCGGCCGGGGGCAAGGUGAUUAUUCUGUCUGAUGAGGAGAAUAAGAGCCAGUUUGUGGUAUUGACAGAAGAAUGAAAGUAAAGUCUUGAAAGAUGGGAAGAUCAGGAGCAGUCUGGAGUCAUGGUAUAUGAAUGAACUAGUGAGAGUGGGCACAAAGUCUGAAGAUCUUUGUAGUGCAGCUAAUGUCUAAGGGAGAAUAUACCUACCCUAGAAGAGACAUUAAACAACCAGGCCCCCAAAAGAUGAACUCCAAUCUGCUGCCCCUAAACGCAUUCUCCACUGUCUGGAAGAUGUGCAAAGGCAACGGCACAGCGUUCUCCAUCUCAAAUCCUUCAAAGUGCUGUCAGAAUAAAAGAAUCCCCACCAAAA
rnacentral:lncRNA from 1 species